AGCAGCCGCGGUAAUUCCAGCUCCAAUAGCGUAUAUUAAAGUUGUUGCAGUUAAAAAGCUCGUAGUUGAACUUCAGGCCUGUCCAGAUGGUCCGCCUUAAUUGGUGUGUACUGUCCUUGGGUGGGUCCUACCUUCUGGCGAAGCGGCAUGGCCUUAAUUGGUUGUGUUGGGGAACCAGGACUUUUUACUGUGAAAAAUUAGAGUGUUCAAAGCAGGCAUUAUAUGCUCGAAUACAUUAGCAUGGAAUAAUGGAAUAGGACGAUGGUUCUAUUUUGUUGGUUCUAGGACCGUUGUAAUGAUUAAUAGGGAUAGUUGGGGGCAUUAGUAUUCAAUUGUCAGAGGUGAAAUUCUUGGAUUUAUUGAAGACUAACUACUGCGAAAGCAUUUGCCAAGGAUGUUUUCAUUAAUCAAGAACGAAAGUUAGGGGAUCGAAGACGAUCAGAUACCGUCGUAGUCUUAACCAUAAACUAUGCCGACUAGGAAUCGGGACGAUGUUGACAAAAUGACUUCGCUCGGCCUA
rnacentral:rRNA from 1 species